AAUGGUUAUGUGAUAUAUAUUUGAAAGAUGAUAGUGAGUUAGUGGGAUAGUACGCCACUUGUAACAAGACUUGCCAUUGCUGUGAGCUGUUACAAAAGGAGCUGGAAACAGCUUCGAACUCUCCUAGCUGAAUUGCAUCAUUUAAUAGGCACUUGGUGGGGAUGUUAGCACUCAGCUUUGCUGCUUAAAUAAUCUCUAUCUUCCUUUCCUUUGGAGUCUCACCAUUCCCCAAUGUCGGUAACGUGUGGCAUGUAUGCUUCUUGCGAGCUGGAUUGUACAGGCGGUGGCUCCGAUGACCUGGAGUCACGGGUAAUGAUGAUAAGGAGAGCUGGCUUUUCUCUCCUCGUGACUAGCUGAGUUUGGCUCUUCUAAUGUCAUGGCAUGUUUAUUUUGUACGGGCCAUACUAAUCCUUGAGGGCAGCUUUACAUUCACAAUCACAAGCAGAGAUUGUGUGCUCAACUGGCUAAUGCAUAAUUUACUUGUAAUGGGAAUGGCUGAACUCCCUAAUAUGCCCCAGAGAAUUCUUGGAGAGUUUACACAAGUGCUAUUGAAUUUCGCUCAGAGGCUGCAAUUAGUGAAAAGAAGCAUGCGUUCCGUCAAAAGUGACUAGUGAUUAGAGUGCAGGAUGGACUGAUUACUUAUGGCAUGCUUUUUAGCAUUUUAUGGGUUGGAAAUUGGACCAUGCUUGGCAUGGAGCUGAUCAGGAAUCUUGUGUGAGUAUCACGCAAGUUCUAAUUCCUCAUUGGUAUUUACAUUCAGUUACCUCUGCAGGAGUUUGGGUUGUACAACUGAAAUUGAGGUUGGAAUGAAAACUGGCUACCUAUGGGUGGGGUUUGUUGUCUUCUCAAGGUGAAGGAUGAAACAGGGCAGGCAGCGGAGUGGUGUGUAAAGUGAUGCACUCCCCCUGCUGCUUACAGGGCCUCUGUGUGCUCGCCAUGUGUGGCCUGAAGAUUCACAAACCCAUCACAAGUGGGUUGACACAAAAUACUGAAGAAACUCAGCGGGUCAGGCAGCAUCUCUGGAGAAAAUGAAGUGGCGACGUUUCAGGUCGAGACCCUUCUUCAGACUGAAAGGAGAGAGGGAAACGAGAGGUCAGAUGAUCAGCUGCUCCUGAUUGAGCCAAAGACUAAGCGGAAGCUGAGAGGGGACCGUGCCUUUGCUGUGUCGGCUCCGAGAUUGUGGAAUGAAUUGCCUCUGCACGUUAAACAGGCCCCUUCUCUAGCUGUUUUUAAGUCACUCCUGAAGACAUAUCUAUUCUCCAUGGCCUUUGUAGACCAGUGAGGUGUUGAAUUGUUUAUUAAUUUUAUUUGCUUGGUUUUGCUGCGUUGUUCGUACUCGUGUUUUAUGUUUUUUUAAUUUAUUGUUUGGAUUUUUGUAUGUAAUGUAUGCGCCUCGUGUUAGUUGUAUGUUCUGUUGUUCUGCCUGUUUUAUGAUGUCUUGCUUGUUUUCUUUUUUCUGUACAGCACUUUGGCCAGCUUUGGUUGUUUUUAAGGUGCUUAACAAAUAAAGUUAUUAUUAUUAUUAUUAUUAUGGUUUAUUGACGCCUACAUAAUCCAGGCAAGCACUAUAAUGGAUAAACACCCUUUAUAAUUUGAUUGAAAUGAAGAGCUUGUCAUGUAAGGAUGAUGGCCAAUGGGCCCAUAUUCAACAUAAUUAAGUACAGUUUAUUGCAAUGUGUUCCUCCCUUAUUUGUAAUUGCAAGCUUUAAAUAAAAGAGAAUCAGUAACAUAAAUACCAACAAUACCACAGUUGUUUCAUACAGACACCACCUUUAACAAAAGAAAUACUCUUUGGUUCAAUCAUCUUUAUCUACCAUCUGAGCCCAGGGAUUAAAUUGCUGACUUGGAGUUUCGUCAGUACAUCUGCUGUCUGUGCAAUGUAUGAUUUGGACAGGGAUGGGGAUAAUUAUCACGACAGAUACUGGCCAGUGUGGAUUGUGUAGUCUUUGGUGAUGUGAUUCACACUGAAGAAUAAAUAACUGCAGAGUAAUCAUUGUCUAUUAAAUGGUAAACAAAUGUUAUUAGCCAGUUAUCAAAAUCAGAA